GGGGCUGUCACUCAGUGGUAGAGUGCUUGCCUAGCAUGCAUGAGGCACUGGUUUCAAUCCUCAGCACCA
rnacentral:tRNA from 1 species